UGGCAGAGAAGUUAGAGAUAUAUUACAGACACAGAAGAGAAACAUGGUGGAGCAACUCAUCAGACGCUGACAGUGAUGAAUUUCUAUGUCUUCGGAGGAAGUGGCAUAGGGCACUGGUAAUGAAGGAGGAAGCUGCCUCUGAGAUGGAAAGGAAG